rnacentral:ncRNA from 2 species
CUCAUCUUGACGGGGUGCCGGCAUUUUUUUUGUGUUGGCUGAGACUUCACCCGUUGAACCUGAUCCGGUUAAUACCGGCGUAGGAAUCGAGAUGCGCAGUUCC